rnacentral:rRNA from 1 species
UACGAAGGGGGCUAGCGUUGCUCGGAUUGACUGGGCGUAAAGGGCGCGUAGGCGGUUCGUACAGUCAGACGUGAAAUCCUGGGCUCAACCUGGGGCUGCGUUUGAUACGUGCGGGCUUGAGUGCGGAAGAGGGUCGUGGAAUUCCCAGUGUAGAGGUGAAAUUCGUAGAUAUUGGGAAGAACACCGGUGGCGAAGGCGGCGACCUGGUCCGAUACUGACGCUGAGGUGCGAAAGCGUGGGGAGCAAACGG